GACAUCCAGAGAACUUGGCAGAGAUGCCUUGGUGCCUUCGGGAACUCUGAGACAGGUGCUGCAUGGCUGUCGUCAGCUCGUGUUGUGAAAUGUUGGGUUAAGUCCCGCAACGAGCGCAACCCUUAUCCUUUGUUGCCAGCGAUUCGGUCGGGAACUCAAAGGAGACUGCCAGUGAUAAACUGGAGGAAGGUGGGGAUGACGUCAAGUCAUCAUGGCCCUUACGAGUAGGGCUACACACGUGCUACAAUGGCGUAUACAAAGAGAAGCGACCUCGCGAGAGCAAGCGGACCUCAAAAAGUACGUCGUAGUCCGGAUUGGAGUCUGCAACUCGACUCCAUGAAGUCGGAAUCGCUAGUAAUCGUAGAUCAGAAUGCUACGGUGAAUACGUUCCCGGGCCUUGUACACACCGCCCGUCACACCAUGGGAGUGGGUUGCAAAAGAAGUAGGUAGCUUAACCUUCGGGAGGGCGCUUACCACUUUGUGAUUCAUGACUGGGGUGAAGUCGUAACAAGGUAACCAAGGGCGAAUUCUG
rnacentral:rRNA from 1 species